UAACGAGUUAUACUACAUUGAUCAUGUUGAUAUAUACCUGUAAGUCACUCUGCGGUUUUUUCCUCCAAAUUCAGACAAAACUAAUCAGUGCCUUUCCCAAAGUCAUCAGCCUGUAAUUCAGUGGUUGUCAUUUGUUGCUGUGUUACAUAUUUGCUUUUCGCUAAUUAUUUUGUAUAUAAAUCAGGCUGUAAGUUUCUCGUUUGGGUUGCUUUACAUUUGUCAUUCGGUGCUUUUAUAGCUGACUAUGUGGUAUUGUUUUACUCAUUGUUGGAGGUCGUACAGUGACAUUUAGUUGUUAACUUCUGUGUCG
rnacentral:lncRNA from 1 species